GCUUUUGUCGUCAGCCCUGUGUCGAUCAACUGUGUCAAAAUAAGGAAGGUUUAAUUUGAAUAAACGUACACAUACAGAAGCAUGGAGCCAUUACUGCGGAAACGAGGCGUUGACGAAGACACUUUAAGAGCUCUUAGGAAUCAAAAGGUAAAAUCGCCAAAGAACUGGAUUAAAUACAUGUUUACAUUUUAAAUUAAACGAUUAUUAUUCAACU